CCCGAAGACGUGAUGUGGAGCGAAAUAAAGUAGUGAAGCGUGUGAGCCAUGUGCCGAGAAAAGCUGCUAUUGUGUAAUGCGUGCCCGUACCGUAAACCGACACAGGUGGAUGAGGAGAGAAUCCUAAGGCCGACGGAAGAAGCAUUGUUAAGGAAUUCGGCAAAAUGACCCCGUAACUUCGGGAGAAGGGGUGCCUGCGAGAGCAGGCCGCAGAGAAUAGGCUCAAGCAACUGUUUAGCAAAAACACAGGUCUAUGCGAAACCGAAAGGUGAAGUAUAUGGGCUGACGCCUGCCCGGUGCUGGAAGGUUAAGAGGAGAGGUUAGCGUAAGCGAAGCUUUGAAUUUAAGCCCCAGUAAACGGCGGCCGUAACUAUAACGGUCCUAAGGUAGCGAAAUUCCUUGUCGGGUAAGUUCCGACCCGCACGAAAGGCGUAAUGAUUUGAGCACUGUCUCGACAAUGCAUCCGGUGAAAUUGAAGUACCAGUGAAGAUGCUGGUUACCCGCGCCAGGACGGAAAGACCCCAUGGAGCUUUACUCCAGUUUGAUACUGGGAUUCGGUACUGCAUGUACAGGAUAGGUGGGAGACGAAGAAGGAUGGACGCCAGUCUGUCCGGAGUCGCUGUUGGGAUACCACCCCUGUAGUACUGGGUUUCUAACCAGUUGCCAUGAUCUGGUAAUGGGACAAUGUCAGGCGGGGAGUUUGACUGGGGCGGUCGCCUCCGAAAGGGUAUCGGAGGCGCUCAAAGGUUCCCUCAGAAUGGUUGGAAACCAUUUGAAGAGUGCAAAGGCAGAAGGGAGCUUGACUGCGACACCGACGGGUGGAGCAGGUACGAAAGUAGGACUUAGUGAUCCGGUGGUAUAAAGUGGGAUUGCCAUCGCUCAACGGAUAAAAGCUACCCUGGGAUAACAGGCUUAUCACUCCCAAGAGUUCACAUCGACGGAGUGGUUUGGCACCUCGAUGUCGGCUCAUCGCAUCCUGGGGCUGUAGCAGGUCCCAAGGGUUGGGCUGUUCGCCCAUUAAAGCGGUACGCGAGCUGGGUUCAGAACGUCGUGAGACAGUUCGGUCCCUAUCCGGCGCGGGCGGAGGAUAUUUGAGAGGAGCUGUCCUUAGUACGAGAGGACCGGGAUGGACGGACCACUGGUGUAUCUGUUGUCGACCAACGGCAUGGCAGAGUAGCCAAGUCUGGAAGGGAUAAACGCUGAAGGCAUCUAAGCGUGAAGCCCCCCUCAAGAUGAGAUAUCCCUCCUAUAAGGAGUAAGACCCCUUGAAGACUACAAGGUAGAUAGGGCAGAGGUGGAAGCAUGGCAACAUGUGGAGCUGACUGUUACUAAUAGGUCGAGGGCC
rnacentral:rRNA from 1 species